rnacentral:rRNA from 1 species
AUUGAACGCUGGCGGCAGGCCUAACACAUGCAAGUCGAGCGGAGCGGCGGACGGGUGAGUAAUGCCUAGGAAUCUGCCUGGUAGUGGGGGAUAACGUCCGGAAACGGGCGCUAAUACCGCAUACCAUAGGAUGAGCCCAAGUGGGAUUAGGUAGUUGGUGGGGUAAUGGCCUACCAAGCCGACGAUCUCUAGCUGGUCUGAGAGGAUGAUCAGUCACACUGGAACUGAGACACGGUCCAGACUCCUACGGGAGGCAGCAGUGGGGAAUAUUGGACAAUGGGCGAAAGCCUGAUCCAGCCAUGCCGCGUGUGUGAAGAAGGUCUUCGGAUUGUAAAGCACUUUAAGUUGGGAGGCGUUACCAACAGAAUAAGCACCGGCUAACUUCGUGCCAGCAGCCGCGGUAAUAC